AUUGAACGCUGGCGGCGUGCCUAAUACAUGCAAGUAGGACGCAGUUGCGAACGGGAGAGUAACGCGUAGGUAACUACCUAUUAGAGGGGGAUAACUAUUGGAAACGAUAGCUACUACCGCAUACUAGUAGCUGGACCUGCGUUGUAUUAGCAAGUAGGUAGGGUAAUGGCCUACCUAGGCAACGAUACAUAGCCGGCCUGAGGUGGUGAUCGGCCACACUGGGCCUGGGACACGGCCCAGACUCCUACGGGAGGCAGCAGUAGGGAAUCUUCGGCAAUGGGGGGAACCCUGACCGAGCAACGCCGCGUGAGUGAAGAAGGUGUUCGGAUCGUAAAGCUCUGUUGUUAAGGAAGCGGUACUUAACCAGAAAGGGACGGCUAACUACGUGCCAGCAGCCGCGGUAAUAC
rnacentral:rRNA from 1 species